rnacentral:lncRNA from 1 species
AAGGCAAUGGGAGCCACUGAGAUGGUAAGAGUCCACUGCUUCUUGUGCAUGACCCUCCUCGUUCUACUCUCUACUUCUGCUGCUGCAGGUACUAUGGAUGUGGGUUAUGUCCAGCCAUCUAACACAACCAUGUUCGACGGCGUCGCUGGCGGCACUGGGUGGUUGGAUCCAGAGAUGGCGACGGACCCGCACAUAACCUACCGUGCCGUGGGGAAUGCCGGCCGACCGGCGGCCACGCCUGCCAAGGCUGGGGCGUCUUACACCCGUGGGUGUUCGGGUGCUGCUUAUUGCAGAAAGUGAUCCUUUAAGUCUCUUCGUUUCCAUGGGAGUCUCAUGAUCGAUGUGUCGUCGCAGAACCUACUUUGCUUGUAUGACUUGAUUAUGUUAUCAUUUGGCUUGCUUAUCUUUUUCCUGUGUUUGUUGUUUCACUUCUCUGCGUGGAAAACAUUAACGUUUCGAUUUAUGAAACUUAAUUGUUCUUUUUCGAUUGACUGUAUGUAUCAGAGAACAUUCUUAAUGUCGAUCAUAAACCUGAAUAAAAAAAAUGAAAUAUUGCGUUA